GUUGGGAAUCUUGCGCAAUGGGCGAAAGCCUGACGCAGCGACGCCGCGUGUGGGAUGACGGUCUUCGGAUUGUAAACCACUUUUUUCGGGGACGAUGAUGACGGUACCCGAGGAAUAAGCCCCGGCUAACUCCGUGCCAGCAGCCGCGGUAAGACGGAGGGGGCUAGCGUUGUCCGGAAUUACUGGGCGUAAAGGGCAUGUAGGCGGUCGCGUACGGCGGUGGUGAAAGCUCCCGGCUCAACUGGGAGAGGCCCUCCGCAACGGCGUGACUCGAGGCAGGUAGGGGCAAACGGAAUUCCUGGUGUAGCGGUGAUAUGCGUAGAGAUCAGGAGGAACACCCGUGGCGAAGGCGGUUUGCUGGGCCUGUUCUGACGCUGAGGUGCGAAAGCCAGGGGAGCGAACGGGAUUAGAAACCCGAGUAGUCC
rnacentral:rRNA from 1 species